GGUGAAAAGCACCCCGGAAGGGGAGUGAAAUAGAACCUGAAACCGUGUGCUUACAAGUAGUCAGAGCCCGUUAAUGGGUGAUGGCGUGCCUUUUGUAGAAUGAACCGGCGAGUUACGAUUUGAUGCAAGGUUAAGCAGUAAAUGUGGAGCCGUAGCGAAAGCGAGUCUGAAUAGGGCGUUUAGUAUUUGGUCGUAGACCCGAAACCAGGUGAUCUACCCUUGGUCAGGUUGAAGUUCAGGUAACACUGAAUGGAGGACCGAACCGACUUACGUUGAAAAGUGAGCGGAUGAACUGAGGGUAGCGGAGAAAUUCCAAUCGAACCUGGAGAUAGCUGGUUCUCUCCGAAAUAGCUUUAGGGCUAGCCUCAAGUGAUGAUUAUUGGAGGUAGAGCACUGUUUGGACGAGGGGCCCCUCUCGGGUUACCGAAUUCAGACAAACUCCGAAUGCCAAUUAAUUUAACUUGGGAGUCAGAACAUGGGUGAUAAGGUCCGUGUUCGAAAG
rnacentral:rRNA from 1 species